AUAGGGGACUAGGGGUGCCGACGUUGGCUGAGAGGUGACAUAGUCACCAACCCUUUCGGACUCGACCUGGAUAAUACCAGCGUGAGGAAGUGCCCACCGUCGCUA
rnacentral:ncRNA from 2 species